UUAAUACUCUUUCCGUUCGGAAAUACUUGUUAAAAAAAUGAAUGAAUCUAGACGUAUUUUAGUUAUAGAUACAUUUAAUUUUAUCUAUUUCUCCGACAAAUAUUUCAGGACGGAACGAGUACUAU
rfam:Triticum urartu cultivar G1812 contig899230, whole genome shotgun sequence.